AAUCAACGCUGGCGGCGUGCCUAACACAUGCAAGUCGAACGCGAAAGCCCUUUCGGGGGUAAGUAGAGUGGCGUCCGGGUGAGUAACACGUAGGUAAUCUGCCUUCGGGUGGGGAAGUAACCAGUCGAAGAUUGGCUAAUACCGCAUAAUGCAGCGGCACCUAAUGGUGAUUAGUUGUUAAAGCGGGGGAGUCGUAAGACCUCGCGCCUGAAGAGGAGCCUGCGGCAGAUUAGCAGUUGGUGAGGUAAUGGCUCACCAAGGCUUCGAUCUGUAGCUGGUCUGAGAGGACGGCCAGCCACACU
rnacentral:rRNA from 1 species